rnacentral:rRNA from 1 species
CCUACGGGCGGCAGCAGUGAGGAAUAUUGGUCAAUGGGCUUACGCCUGAACCAGCCAAGUCGCGUGCGGGAAGACUGCCCUAUGGUUUGUAAACCUCUUUUGUCAGGGAGCAACGCCGGCUACGUGUAGCCGGACUGAGAGUACCUGAAGUAAAAGCAUCGGCUAACUACGUGCCAGCAGCCGCGGGAAUACAGAGGAUGCGAGCGUUAUCCGGAUGUAUUGGGUUUAAAGGGUGCGUAGGCGGAAUGCCAAGUCAGCGGUAAAAUCGCGGGGCUCAACCGCGCUCCGCCGUUGAAACUGGCGUUCUUGAGUGGGAGAGAAGUAUGCGGAAUGCGAGGUGAAGCGGUGAAAUGCAUAGAUAUCACGCAGAACACCGAUUGCGAAGGCAGCAUACCGGCGCCCAACUGACGCUGAAGCACGAAAGCGUGGGGAGCGAACAGGAUUAGAUACCCCAGUAGUC